ensembl:processed_transcript Gm17066 predicted gene 17066
AAAAUGAAACAGACCAUUCCAGAUGGUGAUCUGCCUACCCCCUAUCAAAAAGAGCUAUAAUCACUAAAUAAUAAUGGUUACUGGUACCUUUACAAUAAUGUGCAAUCCAAUGUUUAAAAUUUAUACCACUUCAGUUUGGCUUGAUCAUAUAAAUUUUCAACAGAUGUCUUAAAAUUUAAAAGCAGGCUGAUUAGUUUGGAACCAGACUUCAAGUAGCGCUAACAUUUGGUGAAUAAGACAACUUCAUAUUACAUUUUGGAUGUAUGAAAGAAAACUUGACCAUUUGAAGAUGUAUGAAUAAAGAAAUGUACUAUAGAUACUACUUUAGGAAAACCCUGUUUGUAGUCGUGAAAGAUGCCAAAUUGGCAGAGGCUCACGUUUCUUCUCUUUACACCAAACAGAGAGAGAACAUCACUGCCUGAAUUUAGCUUUGUGACUACAUGAGCAAGCCCUCUUUGUCCUGUCUGGAGACGACUGUUAAUAAUAGCAUCUUGUCAUUUGGUUUGCUCUCUAUCAAUCUGAAUAGAUGUUUACAUGGACCGUGAUGACCAUUUUAUCUUUACAGUUCUGUACAAGUCCAUCUGAGUCCAGACGUGUAUCAAAUGUGUGAGGUUUAUGACCUUAUUUAGAAAUGUUUUCUUCCCUUCAUAGCAAUUUAAUUUGUAAAACACCUUUAAGGAACAAGGCCUUUUAGUUUCCUUAUGAGAUGUAUUAUGUCUCAGGCAAACUGAGAGAUAUGUUUGGGAAAUCUAUAAAGCCAUGAGAGCAUUAAUUGAACAAUUUAGAAUGAAGAAA